rnacentral:rRNA from 1 species
UACGAAGGGGGCUAGCGUUGUUCGGAAUUACUGGGCGUAAAGCGCGCGCAGGCGGCUAUCCAAGACAGUGGUGAAAGCCCGGAGCUCAACUCCGGAACUGCCAUUGAAACUGUUUAGCUUGAGGAUGAGAGAGGUGAGUGGAAUUCCCAGUGUAGAGGUGAAAUUCGUAGAUAUUGGGAAGAACACCGGUGGCGAAGGCGGCUCACUGGCUCAUUACUGACGCUCAGGCGCGACAGCGUGGGGAUCAAACAGG